rnacentral:rRNA from 1 species
GACGAACGCUGGCGGCGUGCUUAACACAUGCAAGUCGAACGGAAAGGCCCUGCUUUUGUGGGGUGCUCGAGUGGCGAACGGGUGAGUAACACGUGAGUAACCUGCCCUUGACUUUGGGAUAACUUCAGGAAACUGGGGCUCAUACCGGAUAGGAGCUCCUGCUGCAUGGUGGGGGUUGGAAAGUUUCGGCGGUUGGGGAUGGUCUCGCGGCUUAUCAGCUUGUUGGUGGGGUAGUGGCUUACCAAGGCUUUGACGGGUAGCCGGCCUGAGAGGGUGACCGGCCACAUGGGGACUGAGAGACGGCCCAGAAUGCUACGGGAGGCAGCAGGGGGGAAUAUUGCACAAUGGGCGGAAGCCUGAUGCAGCAACGCCGCGUGCGGGAUGACGGCCUACGGGUGGUAAACCGCUGUCGCCUGAGACGAAGCGUGAGUGACGGUAAUGGGUAAAGAAGCACCGGCUAACUACGUG